AAUCAGCUGCUUCCGGUUAUUUUUCUCAAUGAUAUAUCUAUUGUUACAAUACACAAAACAAAGCACUUAUUUUGUGUAGUAUUAGUUUAAGCGUUGUGUCAUCUCCCAUAAACAUGAAAAUCCUGCAUUUGAAAAUAAGUAGAUGAAUAUGACAAAUCCUGACAUCGGUGCCUACGCCAACAAUAACUACGUUCCAGACAUUGGCCAAUUCGGUCAAAGACCUGACAUCAUCAAUUACACCUCAAUGCAGAAUAACGUUGGACCAUGCAACUAUCCUGGAAAUUUCACAUUUGCUGUUCCUACAUCAGCAAGUCAACUAAAUGCAGGUUUACAAUCAAACCAGCACAUAGGACUUUACUCCAGCACUUACAUGAACCCUCAGCAAGUGGUGCCAGGAAUGGGUGUGUCGUGGCAGCAUUCUGUCCCUAACAAUAUGCCAUGGACUGAUCAAGUGUAUGGUACAGUGAAUUCAGGUGUCACAACUUUCUCAGGCAAACCCACAGUUUCACAGAGUUACAGCACAGUGACAAGUCCAAGAGCAUCAUGCAGUGUCUCACCAAGGAGAAAUAAACGACAUGCAGUGGAAGAUAUUGAACCAAUUGCACCAGAAAACAAAAUUUUUCUGACAGAAGAAAAAAUGGCAGCUAGGAUGCAAAAUUUGAAUAUAAGCCCGAUGAACUCCUCUGCAGCCCUUGGACAACCUCUGCCUGAUGUUGUGUUGUCAAGCAACAUGGAGCCACAGUAUUGUCAGGAAGCAGGGGAUCUCCAGCGUCUGAAAGAACUCGAAAAGAGACUGGAAGAAGAUGUAUCCGAGAGCAUGGACAGGGAGAAGUCUGGAAAAGAAAAAGGGAAGCCAAGGCUGAGGAUAAAACUAAACCUACCUGAUCAGGUCACGGCAGGCCUAUUUGACCCACAACCAAUUUUGCCACAAAAAAUUUUAGAGGACAUGUAAGGAUGCUUUAGUUGUUGUUUGAUGUAGUGUGAAUUAAAUAUCUGAAAAUCUUAUUGCUAAAUCAUACAAGUAUUAAAACUCAUUUUGUGCAAACUGGGUAACCUAUUCAUUGCUGUAGCAAACUCCCUGGCAACUGUCGGAAUUGUAUUCACUGUAAACUUUUAUAUCAAUAACCAUUUAUAUAAUGAACUCUGGGAUAACAAGUAUGUAACAAGUUGAUUCUGUGAAGCUAAGAAAAUUAUAACUUACCCAAAAUUUAUUGGUAAAGAGUUGGUACUGAACUGAAUUUAAAACAAUUCCUAAUGUUUCAGAUUAGCAUUUGGUUCUAAUACUUCAUUGCCCAUUAAAAUUUAAAUGAAGUCACUAACAAUCUCUUUUUUAUAAGUUCUUUAUUUAAGUCAUGCCUCUAUGUAUUGUUUUUAAACAGAAACAAACCAAAUUUGCAAGUGGUUGUGUGGAAGCCCCCCUUAGGUAGACCUGCAGACUCUGAGAGUGAAGAGUUAAAAGACCAGGAAAACUCCUCAGACAAAGAAGAAGAGGACACAGCACCUGUUGUAGAUAUGUUAGCGGAGGACAACAACUUGUCCUCAACACUACCAUUACCAAGGAUACCUUCAGAAGACAUUAUGGAUAUUGAUAUCAUGGAUACUGAUUAACCAAGGUCAAAUGUUGAGAUUUGUUGAAGCAUACAUUGGAUAGGAAGAGUUGGUUGAUGAAUGAAUGUAUAGUUCAACAUUGUGACAUUGCGAGGUGAAUAUGAGAUCGUGCAAAUUAGUUAUCUGAUGAAUAAAUGGUCACCUUUAAAAUCUACCUAAAGGAUCUGUGGUGUCCUGAUUUUGCAGACACUGAAAAUAUGUGGUGCAAUGUGGUGGGAUACACUUUUUUAAAUAUCAAACAUUUUCUAGUUGUUCGCAUCAACAGUCUCGAUCCAUUACUGUUAUCAUUGUUGUUGUCAGAGGACUAAUCAUGACUUGUAUCAUUACAAAUGAACCUUCAUUACCCUAGUGAUCACACAUCAAACAUUUGUAAAUUUUCAACAUUUUUAGAUGUGCAUACAGUACACAGUUGUUGUCAUGUCUCAAAGACAUGUUGUUUGUAUAAGCUUUCAAAUUGAUUACAAGUUUGUCAAAUUGUCAAAAAGUACCGGUACUCUUUAACCUUUGUGGCUUUAAUUUCUGUUUCAGGGCUAGUAUUGUAUUCAUACUGUAUACACAUGUACCGGGCACAGAUUAUGAGAGGAUUUUGAUUAUCAUUUCAUUGAAUUGUUCGUUCUUAAAUUUUCAUUUCUUUUGUGACAUUCAUUAUAAAUUUUUAUGUUGUGAAAUUACACAAAAAUUCCAGUUGCUCAGGUAUUGCUGAGAAUCACUGCCAAGAAGUGCUUUAAAUGAAUUUAACCAUAAUUACUAAAUACAUAUACUAAAUUUUACUAACUAAAAAUGCAUCAUUAUGUAUCAAGUUUUAUUUUAUCAUGCAACAUUGAGAUAUCAAUUUUUGUGCAGGGAUGAAAGAUAUCAGUGUAAGAUUACAAUAUUUUUUAUUUUUUCAACGAUUUCACUUGCAUGUAUUAAUGUACUGAAGUGUUUGGAAAUGUUUUGAAAUGCAAUAUAUAUUAGCAAUAAAAUUGCAAAU
rnacentral:misc_RNA from 1 species